GGAGGGGUGCCGGAGUGGACUAUCGGUGCUGCCUGGAAUGCAGUCGGAUGCGCAAGCGUCGCCAGGGUUCGAAUCCCUGUCCCUCCGCCA
rnacentral:tRNA from 2 species